CUUCUGGGGUCUUUGUUUGGGGUGUUUUGCACUGGCAUUUAACUCUUUCCUGUCUUCAGAGCAAUGAAAGCAGCUGUGGAGUAGAUUCUAAGGCCAGGGAGGCGCUGGAGCACACUCUGCCCGUGUCUUGUCCCCUUAUCCUGUCAUGGCGCCAGUGUCUUUAGGUAGGACCCCGGCAGCUCUGUGUGAGUAGGGGGAUUCCUGUUCCAGAGCAUGUUGCUCGGUACACUAAAGCCAUCUCUUCAGAAGGGCAGGUUUUGGAUUUGUUUGUUUUCUUUCUUGAAUGUUGUCUGUGGCUCUUAAUGGCUGUGGAUGGAAGUGGCUCAGUCCUGCGGAGUGGAGAGCUGGGGUCUGGUCUGGACUGUGACUCCACGACUUCAGAGUAAGCAUUUCCCAGAUGUCCAUGGGACAUGUUUAUAUUGAAAACUGGCUGUACCGUACUUUAUCUGGCUACCUGACCUCAAACCCUGCCUCCUUGAAUCUCCCUUUACAUUGUGAUUCUCCCUCUCUUUUGAGGUCCAUCGGCUCUGGAAGCUUUAGACCUGAAGUGUGCACACACAGCUGUGCCAGUUUAGGGGCUCACAGGCUCACUGCCCCUCCCUUUGGGCUCCCUAGACGAGAUGAUCUGUAGUGUUCAUGAUCUCAGGGUCAGGAGAGAGGGCUGUGACUCUUUCCGUUGCUUCUCAAAACCUGAAGAAAACUGAAAUCUGAACCUGAGAAACCUCUUCCCCACUCCCCUUAUCUUUGUUUUUUUCUCGCCUGACUUGUUUUCAGCUGAGCCUGCUCAAAGAUUCCGCCGUUUGUUCUAAAUGACAGAGGGGAAGGUGAGGCGUGGGAGGGGGAGCCGUGGCCAGGACUGACUCUUCCCUCAAAAGCUCCUUUAGGAGAAUCGGCGUCAGGACACCGUGCUUUCUGGGCCUGGUCCUCUCCUCCCCCACAUCCCCUCCCCGCCCAGCUGUUGUUUACUGGGAGCCAGGAGUCUGGCCCGGCCGAGUGGCCCGACUGCUGGCGCACUACCCGCUCUCAGCUUAUCAGCACACGCUCGCCCCAGCACACUUCCUCACCACCCAGUGCUGCCAGCCUGUGCUGACUCACUUGGUCUUACCCUCUUGGCUUCCUUCCUUUCCUCUUCACUUCUCUGUCUCUUGAGCGCUGGGCUCCAGGGAACAGUGACCAACCUACCUGGACUCAAGCCCGAGUAGGGAGCCCAUUACCUACCCCCAGGUCAGCGGGGCGCAGUCAAGGAGCUGGGGCAGACCUAUCAGAGUAGUGAGCCAGGCCCACAUGGAGCAGGGAGGGGCUGCCUGGGCCCGAUGUCCAGGGUGAACUGUGGCGAUUGGAGGUCAUGCUUUGCUGCCAGAAGGAUACUUCUUCCUCAGACUCACCUGUGGGCUUCGAAUGAAAGUCCUUAUGAAUGAGCCUGAGGAAGUAACGGGUGGCGAGUGAGCAGGCUCCAGAAUCGGGUGACCCGAGUUUAAAUUCCAGCUCUGCUGGCACUGGCUGGGCGCCCCUGAGGACAGCCCUUGCCUCUCUGAACCUCACUUUCUGUCCUGUGAAAAGAGGAUAAUGUCCAUGUGACAAGGUUGCUGCAGUUAAUUAGGAAAUAAUGCACAGACCAAGUGACUGUCCUGAUGCCCUGGCGCAUCAAACCUGAGGUCAAAUGCAGAUGGAGCUGCCCUGCGGAGAGGGCUGUGGCCCCUAUAAGCGCUCUGCUUCAGUCUGUUAGAAGAGAGACCCAAGGGGAGGCACAUGAGACCACUUGAAUGCCUCCCAGACGUAGUUUGCAAGGAAUAGGCUCAUCAAACACUGUAUCAUACUUGCAGGGUGGUGGUGAAUUGGUAGUGGAAAUUUUGGAUAGGAAAGAAAAAAGCAGUGAAAAUUCCUUUGUGCAACUUUGAGAAUCGCAUCCCUGGAGGCCUUUGUUUUCCCCUGCCACUAGGAAGGAGUAAAUGAAGCUGGUGCUCGUGCACCCCCUCCUGGCUGAGUGUGGACGUGCCCCGAGGAUCUCCAGACUGCAGGCAUUCUGAGUUAUGACCAUCCUGUGAGGGGUGGAAACAGCUGGGCCCGCUGAAAAUGGCUGCAGAGACAUUGCUGCAGUGUUUUCCUGGCUUCCAGCCUGGGCAUCUUCAUGCCUGUCACUUUACCCCUAGUGUUCAGCUGGGCUUUCUUGAUUCUGCCGCAAGGACUGCCCCAUUACACAGGUUCUAGGUCUCUUCAGUGGGAACAAGAAGAAAACCAUCUGACUUGAUAACAAGGAUAAACCUUGAGACUGAGGGUCAUGUAGGGACAUGAGGAGGUGAAGGACACAUGAGGAGGUGAAAACAGCAGGUGAAUUCAUGCACCCACCUGCUCAUUCUGUCUCCUCCUGAGUUGCAUCUGUCUGUCUUUUCCCCCACCGACUGUGUGCAGCGUGGCCUUCGUGCCCACCAUAAUUAAUGAAAGAUCUUUUCUUCCUCAGAAAAGGCAAAGGCAGGGGUGCAAUUUGUGGUUUGAACUGUGGACACCAGAUUGAUGUUAAUAGAAAACUUGUUGCCCCGUGACCUACCUUCACAGGAACCUCAUCCCUUCCUGCCUAGCAGGUUCCACAUGCACACUCACAGACGGGGGGCUAAAGGGGCAGAUUUGGGGGCCAGUUUGUAAGGAAUACAGUGGCACCACAGCCAGACACCGCGGUGGCUGAGGGAGUGGCUGCUCAGGAGAAUGGACACCCCUGAAACGUAGCCCCUGGGCUGACCUCACGGCCCCGCA